CCCACACCCAGCAAAGACGUUGCGGCUUUAGUGCAUCAACCAUCAGCUCAGGGUGAUCGGAUCAGAUGAGGCAGGUGUCCCUUGUUCCCUUGUGGUGCCAGGUGGGCUCCUCUGGAAGCUACUGGCUGGAGGCAUCUCCCUGCCCACCCAUGUGAUUCCAGACACAUUCAUGUGGCCGCCACGACCCUAAGAGCAUCAAAGGAGCAACCAAGAGUGCAGCAAGUUCCUGCGGCAGAGGAGAAAGAAGGGAAUUUCCAGGUUCUUCGAGAUGCUCAGGACCACACUGGGAAGCAGCCUUGCAGAUAAGUAUUCAAACUUAUCAGCCCACAGCCUACCAGCCUGCCCUCUCCUGGUCUGUGCAAGAAAGUACAGCAUUCCCCAAUCCCCAAGUCUGGGGAGAAAUCAGUUCUGCGGCUCAUUCACUUUCCUACCUCUAUGCCACAAAGAAAAAGCUUGUCCCUGUUUUAUGGGGCCCCAGAAAGUAAUUUUCCUACCUCGCUUUUGACAUCAGGCCUAAUAUUUUACAAACUCCACCAUCAGGAACUUCUGAGGAGCUGAGUUUAAUGACUUCAUCUUGAGCAUCUGUAGCUCUGAUGUCAGAAGGAGGCUGGGGACUCCUGGUGAUUUGGGCUGACCCUUCUCUUCUCGAUUCUGGCCCUUUGUCAUCAUAGUUAUAAAACUUGACUAGGGCGCCUUUGCCUGGCAGUCAAGCGGGGAUCUCGGCCCUGUGACCCUACAGCACAUGCU